CAGCCAGUGAUGAGAAUGUCUCCCACUCUUGUUCGAGUUUUCCAACCAUGAGACUAAUCCACAUGCACCGCUACCCUGCCAGAGAGCAG